GCCCAAAGACAAGUCUCAACUUGUCUCACACAUGAGAUUCUUGACUUGCUUGCUGGUGAAAGGUUGCUGGAAUAUGUUCACUGCAUUCCUCUUAUUUGGAGUAUCUUCUUAUCGGAUACCCCAUUGGCAAUUAAGACGAGCACUUCCAGCAUUCAAAGUGCUUACUCCACAGGAGGAUUCUGACAAAUGGAUUGUUUGUUCUCAUGAGGUGGUCCCAUUACUACAAUGAGAUUUAAAGUGCAGAUAAGUGUCCUUAUCCUGCUUGUCUUCAGACGGAUCCCGCUGUUCAUGAAUCAUGUCUCAAGAUCCAUUAUCUUUCAUACGUGCCAUUGCAUAGUGUAAUUACGUUUGGUGCCCUAUAUAAGUGACUAUAUAACCCAACAAUUACCUAUUCAUUCCAACACAAAUGGAUCUAUUCUACUUACUGUCCAAACCAACUAGUGACCUGUUCACUUAGUCCAGGUUAUUAGCUUCUGCUCUGUUUAAGUAUCAUCAGCAAACAACACUGAAUUCAUUAAUGACUUCACCAUGUAAUUGCUGAAAAUUAUAGCAGUGGUUUCAAUACGAAUCCUUGUAGCUCUAUUCAGAUUUGCUCUCUUUAAUUGCAGCUACACAUGCCACAACUCUCCUGAUCAGAUAGAUACAAAAAGCUGGAGUAACUCAGCGGGUCAGGCAGCAUCUCUGGAGAAAAGGAAUAGGUGACGAUUCGGGUCGACACCCUUCCUCAGUCUGAGUCAGGGAAAAGGGGAAUGAGAGAUAUAGAUGGUGACAUAGAGAGAUAUAGAACAAAUGAAUGAAAGAUAUGCGUAAAGAUAUAAAGUACUGAUGAUAAAGGAAACAUGUGAAAGAUGAGUCUCGUAUUGUGAUUCCAGCAUUCCACUGUUGUUUGUUAUACUAUUCUUAUACCAAUGUAAAGCACUUUGGCCAACAAGAGUUGUUUUUUAAAUGUGCUAUAUAAAUAAAAGUGA